rnacentral:rRNA from 1 species
CAGUCGCCGCGGUAAAACGUAGGGUGCGAGCGUUAAUCGGAAUUAUUGGGCGUAAAGCGUGCGCAGGCGGUUUUGUAAGACAGGCGUGAAAUCCCCGGGCUCAACCUGGGAAUGGCGCUUGUGACUGCAAAGCUAGAGUGCGGCAGAGGGGGAUGGAAUUCCGCGUGUAGCAGUGAAAUGCGUAGAUAUGCGGAGGAACACCGAUGGCGAAGGCAAUCCCCUGGGCCUGCACUGUCGCUCAUGCACGAAAGCGUGGGGAGCAAACAGGAUUAGAUACCCGCGUAGUCCCUGUCUCUUAUAC